UACGUAGGGGCUAGCGUUGUCCGGAAUCAUUGGGCGUAAAGAGCGUGUAGGCGGCUCGGUAAGUCCGCUCUGAAAGCCCGGGGCUCAACCCCGGGAGGCGGGCGGAUACUGUCGAGCUAGAGUCCGGAAGAGGCGAGUGGAAUUCCUGGUGUAGCGGUGAAAUGCGCAGAUAUCAGGAGGAACACCAAUAGCGAAGGCAGCUCGCUGGGACGGUACUGACGCUGAGACGCGAAAGCGUGGGGAGCAAACAGG
rnacentral:rRNA from 1 species